rnacentral:lncRNA from 1 species
AAAGUAAUUCUCUAUUUAAUAUUCAGUCUGGAUGUCUAAUUUUUUGUGACAGAUAUUCAAAUAUAGUAUCAAAAUAAUUUUAAAUUUUAUGUAAAACAAUAUGAGUUGCGUAGAUUAAAAGAAUUAAAUAAAGGACCUAUUUGUACCCUAUGAUUGUUUUCCUCGAUGCACAUAUUGUGUGAACCCGUGAGCAUCCAAACCUUUAGUCACACAAAAAAAAGCAUCCAAACUCAUCAUCAAACCAUCAUGGGAUCAUGUUUCUCUUCUUCCCAAGAAACAAAGACAAAAAAACCUUCUAAACCCAUCAAACCAAAGACCAAAAAUGUUUAUAAUUAAACCCGUGAAAUCAUCAGGAGGUGCCAUUGUUAUGCCUCCAUUUGGAGGUGGUUGUGGUAGAGGCGGUUGCUGUGCUGGUGGGUGUGGAGGUGGAGGUGGGUGUGGUGGUGGUGGAUCUUAGUAGCUUUGUCCUCCUCUUCUUCUACUUCUUGUUAGGUUUAAUUAAAUGUGUUUUAUGUAUGAAUGAAAUUCUCACUAUAAUUUUGUUUGAGUUUGAUCGAUGUCUAAAUUAAAUCGUCAAGUUUGAUAAAUUCCCACUGUGUGUUGGGUUUGGAUUUUUUUUUUGC